rnacentral:misc_RNA from 1 species
GAACGCACAUUGCGCCCGCCAGUAUUCUGGCGGGCAUGCCUGUUCGAGCGUCAUUUCAACCCUCAGGCCCCCAGUGCCUGGCGUUGGGGAUCGGCGUGGGCGGCGAACGGCUCUCCGGAGCCCGAGCCAAUGCCUGCCGGCCCCGAAAUUCAGUGGCGGUCUCGCUGUAGUCCCCCUCUGCGUAGUAGCACAACUCGCAUUGGAGCUCGGCGGUGGCCAUGCCGUAAAACACCCCACUUCUGAAAGUUGACCUCGGAUCAGGUAGGAAUACCCGCUGAACUUAAG